UCUGACCCCAUCUCCCACGUGCAGCCUCUCAGGCUAUCCAGCACCGAGCUCUCUACACUACUGUUAGCUGUUCCACACACACAACAAAUUGUAUUACUGGAGGGUGACCUGGCAGGACCUGAGACAGAGGUGCCCUAGCCCUUCCCGGAGAUCCUUGAAAUGGUGCAUCCUUUUUCCACCAGUUUAGGGAAGGACCUUUCCUGUUCCAGCAUGACGGUGCCCCGUGCACAUAGCAAGC